UACGUAGGUGGCAAGCGUUAUCCGGAAUUAUUGGGCGUAAAGGGUGCGUAGGUGGCCUGACAAGUUAUCAGUGGCAAAUCGAGGCUCAACCUCGUGGAAACUGGUAAUACUGUUCGGCUUGAGUACAGGAGAGGUUAACGGAACUCUAUGUGGAGCGGUAAAAUGCACAGAUAUAUAGAAGAACAUCAAUAAAGGCGAAGGCAGUUAACUAUUCUGUUACUGACGCUGAGGCACGAAAGCGUGGGGAGCAAAACGG
rnacentral:rRNA from 1 species